GAUGAACGCUGGCGGCGUGCCUAAUACAUGCAAGUAGAACGCUGAAGCUUGGUGCUUGCACCGAGCGGAUGAGUUGCGAACGGGUGAGUAACGCGUAGGUAACCUGCCUCUUAGCGGGGGAUAACUAUUGGAAACGAUAGCUAAUACCGCAUAAAAGUCGACAUCGCAUGAUGUUGACUUGAAAGGUGCAAAUGCAUCACUAAGAGAUGGACCUGCGUUGUAUUAGCUAGUUGGUGAGGUAACGGCUCACCAAGGCGACGAUACAUAGCCGACCUGAGAGGGUGAUCGGCCACACUGGGACUGAGACACGGCCCAGACUCCUACGGGAGGCAGCAGUAGGGAAUCUUCGGCAAUGGGGGCAGCCCUGACCGAGCAACGCCGCGUGAGUGAAGAAGGUUUUCGGAUCGUAAAGCUCUGUUGUAAGAGAAGAACGAGUGUGAGAGUGGAAAGUUCACACUGUGACGGUAACUUACCAGAAAGGGACGGCUAACUACGUGCCAGCGGCCGCGGUAAUACGUAGGUCCCGAGCGUUAUCCGGAUUUAUUGGGCGUAAAGCGAGCGCAGGCGGUUAGAUAAGUCUGAAGUUAAAGGCUGUGGCUUAACCAUAGUACGCUUUGGAAACUGUUUAACUUGAGUGCAGAAGGGGAGAGUGGAAUUCCAUGUGUAGCGGUGAAAUGCGUAGAUAUAUGGAGGAACACCGGUGGCGAAAGCGGCUCUCUGGUCUGUAACUGACGCUGAGGCUCGAAAGCGUGGGGAGCAAACAGG
rnacentral:rRNA from 1 species